GCUAGAGCACUUUUUCAAUGUGCUCCCCAACGAAAAGGCAACAACGCAUUCGUAUGUCAAUCCAUAUCAACUUUCAAUGCCAUUGACUGCGCCUACCAUGGUGACCAUGGGUAACGGGGGAAUCAGGGUUCGAUUCCGUACAGGGACCCUGACAAACGGCUACCACAUUCAAGGAAGGCAGAACGCGCGCAAAUGACCCACUCCCGACGCGAGAAGGUAG